rnacentral:rRNA from 1 species
AUACGUAGGGUCCGAGCGUUGUCCGGAAUUAUUGGGCGUAAAGGGCUCGUAGGCGGUUUGUCGCGUCGGGAGUGAAAACACCGGGCUUAACUCGGUGCUUGCUUUCGAUACGGGCAGACUAGAGGCAUUCAGGGGAGAACGGAAUUCCUGGUGUAGCGGUGAAAUGCGCAGAUAUCAGGAGGAACACCGGUGGCGAAGGCGGUUCUCUGGGAAUGUCCUGACGCUGAGGAGCGAAAGUGUGGGGAGCGAACAGGAUUAGAUACCCUGGUAGUCCACACCGUAAACGUUGGGCGCUAGGUGUGGGAUCCAUUCCACGGGUUCCGUGCCGCAGCUAACGCAUUAAGCGCCCCGCCUGGGGAGUACGGCCGCAAGGCUAAAACUCAAAGGAAUUGACGGGGGCCCGCACAAGCGGCGGAGCAUGCGGAUUAAUUCGAUGCAACGCGAAGAACCUUACCUGGGUUUGACAUACACCGGAAAGCUGCAGAGAUGUAGCCCCUUUUUGUCGGUGUACAGGUGGUGCAUGGCUGUCGUC